GAUGAACGCUGGCGGCGUGCCUAAUACAUGCAAGUCGAGCGAACGGACGAGAAGCUUGCUUCUCUGAUGUUAGCGGCGGACGGGUGAGUAACACGUGGAUAACCUACCUAUAAGACUGGGAUAACUUCGGGAAACCGGAGCUAAUACCGGAUAAUAUUUUGAACCGCAUGGUUCAAAAGUGAAAGACGGUCUUGCUGUCACUUAUAGAUGGAUCCGCGCUGCAUUAGCUAGUUGGUAAGGUAACGGCUUACCAAGGCAACGAUGCAUAGCCGACCUGAGAGGGUGAUCGGCCACACUGGUACUGAGACACGGUCCAGACUCCUACGGGAGGCAGCAGUAGGGAAUCUUCCGCAAUGGGCGAAAGCCUGACGGAGCAACGCCGCGUGAGUGAUGAAGGUCUUCGGAUCGUAAAACUCUGUUAUUAGGGAAGAACAUAUGUGUAAGUAACUGUGCACAUCUUGACGGUACCUAAUCAGAAAGCCACGGCUAACUACGU
rnacentral:rRNA from 1 species